ACCUAUCUAUCUUAAUACCUUUAGUCUUACUAGCCACCAAAGUUCAUGGGUCACAUUUCUCACAAUAGUUGAUAGGCUACAAUUUUCACCAUUAAGAUGUUACUUCUGGCAUUCAGUGUGCUAAUUAGCAGAGCCUGGCACGGACUGAGAUAUGGAUGGCUGAAGCACAGAUGUGAGCAGUGGCUGCCCGGGAUUAAGACCCUUUAGGAACCAUGUUCCUGCACACCCUUGAUGAGGGCAGCUUACUGCGCCCAGACUGAAGCUUGAACACACGCACUAUGCCACAUUCUCCAUGCUCGGCCUGCUACAGUAAGCCAGGGUCAUUAUGACAACAGUUGAGCCUUUAUUCACAUCCUAUGUUAGGAAAGAUUGGAGAGUAUAUGUUAAUUUCCACAUAAAUAACGAUACAUACUUUACACUGGUGUUUAAAAACUACUUUUGGGGACUUGGUCCAGUGGUUAAAUAUCCAUGCUUCUUAACUGCAAGGGGUACAGGUUCAAUCCCUGAUCAGAGAACUAAGAUCCCACAUGCCAUACAGUGCAGCCAAAAAGGUAAACAAAAUAAAAAUUACUUUUCUAUUCCUUUAUUUAUUCAUCUUAUUUUUCCUGCAACCGGUAGUACAGGUAUUAUUCUUCUCAUGGAAUAAUUAAGUGCAAACAGUUUCAUACUCACCUAAUAAUAACUCACACAGAUGGAUAGUUACCAUGUAUGAGAUAUUGUGCAAAACAUUUGACACCAUUUAUCUCAUGUUGUUCUCCCAACUGCCUUAUAAGGCAGGUACUAUAAUUAUCUCCACGUUACAGAUGAAGGAACAGGUGUUGAGAGAUUAGGUAACUUGCUGCGGGUCACUCACAAGGCAGCCUGACUCCAGGGCUGAGCUCUUAUACCUGCAGAGUUUCCUUGGGUUAACUGCAGAGUUGAGUAAUCACAGCUUGGGGCUCCUACGCCUGGGUUCUUUCAAUAGGAAGUCCUGUUCGUUAAGCAGCAGAGAUGGGUGGAAGUGAAGACCAGCAGUUCAAAGGUCCUUCUAGCAUCUCCACCAGGUGUGUUCACGGCUGAACACUCGUUUUGUUAUGACUGAGAAGUUGCUCACAGCUCCAAGUCUCCAUUCUGCUCUUGGGAACUCCAUCCAGGACAUUCGUGUGGAACUCCAUGGAGAUGACAAGAAAUGAUUUGGGACUUCCCAGACCACAGAGAAGCCUACGGAAGUGCAGAGACUGAGCUAUUGUGACCUGGUAAGACUUGCUUUGCUUCUACGGGUCCAGCAGAGAGAAAAGGAGAUAAAUAUCCACAAGUAGAAUUGCUGGAUCUGAUCUGGACCAUUUUGAGGAGGACUGGUCAGCAAGACAUUUGAAACAAUACUUGACUCUCACCAUCACCGUUGCCUCAAGACGCAUUCAGUCCUUAACCCUUUGUGAUCUGAUGUCCAUCUGGGCCACCCUCCUGAAGAAACACUUCGUCAAGAAAUUUAAGGCCUUCCUGCUUUGUGAACCCAGGGGAUCCUUUCAAUUUGCAUCUGACAGUUCCUUUAUGCAACACGUUGCACCGCUAACCACUCCUUCCUUUUGGAAACACUCUUCUUUGGCUCCCCAAACACCAUCAUCCUGCCCCUCUGACCACUCCAGCUCAGUCUCUUUCCCAACACUCCUCUUCCUCAGACCAACCAUGAAAAGCCCCUGGUGUUCUAUCUUCUCUAAAGCGUCUUCCUGACUGAUCUCACCCAUAUGCUGAUGAAAACUUUAUUUACAGCCCCAACUUUUUCCUGGGCUUUGUAGAAAUAUAUCUAAUUACAUAUCAUGGCCACAGUUAUUGACUUCACUGCCCUGAUUCAAUGCCUCACAUCCCUCAUUUCAUUAUUGGAUCUUUAAAAAGAGUCUUGACUAAUCUUCCAGAAACUAUAAAACUCCUAGAGGAGAACAUAGGCAAAACACUCUCUGACAUACAUCACAGCAGGAUCCU